rnacentral:hammerhead_ribozyme from 1 species
GCACUGCUGACAAGUCCCGUAGUAGGACGAAACGGCCGUCCAGUGC